AUACAUGCAAGUCGAGCGAACAGAGAAGGAGCUUGCUCCUUUGACGUUAGCGGCGGACGGGUGAGUAACACGUGGGCAACCUACCCUAUAGUUUGGGAUAACUCCGGGAAACCGGGGCUAAUACCGAAUAAUCUAUUGUCCCUCAUGGGACAAUACUGAAAGACGGUUUCGGCUGUCGCUAUAGGAUGGGCCCGCGGCGCAUUAGCUAGUUGGUGAGGUAACGGCUCACCAAGGCGACGAUGCGUAGCCGACCUGAGAGGGUGAUCGGCCACACUGGGACUGAGACACGGCCCAGACUCCUACGGGAGGCAGCAGUAGGGAAUCUUCCACAAUGGGCGAAAGCCUGAUGGAGCAACGCCGCGUGAGUGAAGAAGGAUUUCGGUUCGUAAAACUCUGUUGUAAGGGAAGAACAAGUACAGUAGUAACUGGCUGUACCUUGACGGUACCUUAUUAGAAAGCCACGGCUAACUACGUGCCAGCAGCCGCGGUAAUACGUAGGUGGCAAGCGUUGUCCGGAAUUAUUGGGCGUAAAGCGCGCGCAGGUGGUUUCUUAAGUCUGAUGUGAAAGCCCACGGCUCAACCGUGGAGGGUCAUUGGAAACUGGGAGACUUGAGUGCAGAAGAGGAUAGUGGAAUUCCAAGUGUAGCGGUGAAAUGCGUAGAGAUUUGGAGGAACACCAGUGGCGAAGGCGACUAUCUGGUCUGUAACUGACACUGAGGCGCGAAAGCGUG
rnacentral:rRNA from 1 species